AGUGACAAAGUGAAUUGCAGUCCAAUAUCCACAAGGUGGAUUUCAAACUUUUCAAGAUUCUUCAACGUUAACCAGCUCGUACUCGACAAGGGAGAGAUUGUUUUCCUCUUUGACCCAAUAGUGACAAAGUGAAUUGCAGUCCAAUAUCCACAAGGUGGAAUUCAAACUUUUCAAGAUUCUUCAACGUUAACCAGCUCGUACUCGACAAGGGAGAGAUUGUUUUCCUCUUUGACCCAAUAGUGACAAAGUGAAUUGCAGUCCAAUAUAUAUUCGAUUUGUUGAUCCAUAUUUGGUAUCAUGCGAUCCAUGUUGCUAUCGUAGUAAUCAACCUGACUGAUGCACGCUUGUAUCAGGCUAUUCAUGUGAAUAAGAUCCACCCAGCAUGUUUUCAUGGCUAGUUGAAUGAAAAUUUUAGGAAGCUUCAUGGCCUUCAUCUCCGAGCAAGUUCAAAGUAAAGCAGGCAGUGUUGCUCUCAGCAACUGAAGCUGCGGAGAUGAUUCUACGAGUCGAUGAAAUCAUCACCUGUGCCCCACGGAGGAGAGAAGACCAUAUGUGAAGAGGCAUGAUUCAUGGUUGCUACUCAAUCUAUAAAGAGAAUAGGCUGGCAAGGUUAAGCUAAAUCCAAAACAUAAUAUCAGAAUGUCAUCACGUAUUUCUGUAUCAGUUUUAUAUGGAAUUAAAUCGAAAUACUUUUUAGAUUA